rnacentral:tRNA from 1 species
GUCGGUUAUCGUUUAACGGAAAAACAAUUCACUCAUAAUGAAUCACUCCGGGUUCGAGUCCCGGUUCCGGCUCCA